UGGUUUUCUAGGAAUCUUAAUUGCAGAGCUGAAGAUAGCUUUGGGAAUUGUAUGGUCUAAUCUCCUGUUACACAUAUUAGAAGCCAGGGUUGCGGGACUAGAAUCAGCAUUUUAAUCCCUCUUCUACUUUUUCUUGCAUCGGCCUUUUCAAGAGGCAGCAAACAUGAACCCCUAUCAUAAAGCCCAGGGACAGAAGUGACAGAAUCCUUUCUCUCUUGAGAGGACACAAUGAAUAAGGAAUGGAUUUUUUUUUUUUAACUUCCCUGAGCUAGGCAUGGUGGCACACACCUAUGAUCCCAGCAGUCUGAGAGGCUGAGGCAAGAGGAUUGCAAGUUCCAGAUCAGCCUGGGCAACUUAUAAUUUAGCAAGAUCUUGUCUCAAAAAAGGCUAGGGCCGGGGAUUUAGCUCAGUGGUUCUACUGCCUGCCUCAAAAGCACAAGGUCCCGAGUUCAAUCCCCAGUACCAAAAAAAAAAAGGCUAGGGAUGUAGCUCAGUUCAAAGGCCCUAGGUUCAGUGCCCAGCACCCCCCCACACACACACAAAAGUCUUGUGAGAGAGAGCAAUUUAGUAAUUUUAAUUAAUAAGUCUGAUGUUCCAUAGUUUGUGUUUUUUUACCAUUGAGGUACAGGAUUAGAAUCUCCCUAAAUAAUGUUAUCUUGGUAGCCAGCAGUUACCUUGGCAUUUUAUGCAGGCUUUCCUGGAUGUUCAAUAAUAAUGAAAUGAAAAUAUAGUCAUGGUUCAGAUGUGAUCCAGUGAAGCAGAAUGAGGUCACAGUUUGCUGUGGAAUGAUACUCUGUGCUUGCAAACUGAGUCCUAUUCACGAUGGAAGACAGACCAAUGGUUUAUAUUCUAAUAUAGAUUAUGUCAUAGAUCAUGGUUUUAUUUUUAAUAGGAAAAUCUCAAACAUAACUAAGUAAUGGAAAGUGUCCUAAAUUCUGCAAUGCAUUAGGUUCACUGUCUGUUAGAUUUCUCUCUCAUUUCUCCAGAGUCAUGGACUUCAUACCUGUCAGACAGAUGAACUUGGUCCAUCUUGCCUUUGGUCCCCCCUGUUGUGCUCGUGUUUUGCACAUUUGCAUUUACAUUUUCUUGUAUUAAAGGAAACAAAUUGCUCAUGAUUAGUGUGACAACAUGAAGGAGCAGUAGACCUGGGAAAUAGUUGCUUCUAGCUGGGGAAGUCAGUGUUGCAGAAACUCACUUUUUAAGAAGAAAUUGAAAGAAAAAGAUAGAUGAACCUUGGCCAACAGUUUACAAAUACCUAUUUGUUUUUUAAAUACUCCUUGGAAUGCAGACUAGCUAGAAUGUCUUCAUCCACAUACCAUUGUUCAAUCAUGAAUCAGAGGAAAAAUUUAAUUUGGAGAGUGCUGCUCUGAUUACCAAGUAUAUAAAUAAUAAGACAGCUGUAAGCAGUGGUAACUGCUAAGUUCACUGACCAAAAAACAUAAAAAUCAUGUUCAGAGUAGAGUUUCUAGGGGUUGGGGAUUUAGUUCAGUGGUUCCGCCGCCUGCCCUGCAAGUGCAAGGACCUGAGUUCGAUACUUGGUACCAAAACAAACAGAGUAUAGAGUUUCUAGUCAAGGUUAAAUACUCUUGGAGGGCCGGGGAUUUAGCGCAGUGGUUUUGCCGCCUGCUGCGCAAGCGCAAGGACCUGAGUUCAGUCUCCGGUACCAAAAAAAAAAAAAAAAGAAAAGAAAUACUCUUGGGCUUGUCUCUACCUAUUUAGAUAAAAAUUCAUUGAUGCACACCCAUAAUCCCAGCACUCGGGAGACUGAGGCAGGAGGGUAGCAAGUUCAGGGGCAGCCCAGCCUGGGCCACAUAGAGAGUUCCAGGCUAUCCUGGAUAUGAGCAAGUCCCUGACUCUAAAUAAAUAAAAUUCAAAAACCUUGCACUAAAGCAGACUUGUGGUCUAUUGUGGAAACUGGCACUUCCUGUUGAAAUAGUCAUGUUCUGCAAACUCUUGGAACUCCUUCCUGCAUGGCCUUGAAUGUUCAUUCUUGUUGUAUGGAAGAUUUAUAUCCAUCUAUUCAGAUAAUAUGUGAUUUCUAUAUUGUUUCCUGUGUAGUCCUCAGUCUUCCUAACUCACACUGGGGACAGGAGAGGUCGAGGUAGCCAGUCCUCUUAUUGUGCCAUAUUCUCCCCUUGCUUCUCACCUCUGAGUAAGACUGACAUCUCUUCUCCAUCGUGCGUGUCCUUUGAGUGUAAGGAAACUCUCUCAGUCAUUUCACUUUCAUCUGAAUUAAACCGGCAUUGAAUCUAUUAUUUCAUCUGAACAUGUUUAUGAUCUGGUGUUAUAUUUGGGGGCACGUUACCUUUCUGGUACUGUAAGCUGUAGUCCAUACUCACAGACUUCAGAAAACUGGUCAGUAAUUUACAUGUACGUGUCCCAUACUCUAGUGUGCUUGAAGUGACGGUCCAUAGCGUGUAGUAAUUUGUUAACUGUCAACUUUAACUCUCCUGUGUUUUGAGAACCACUAAACAUUCCUUGUCCUAUCAAGAUGACAAAAGCAGAAUGUAAUUUUGGGGGGAACCUUCGUGAUUACUCGUGACAAGUUUUGUUUUUAAAACUAAAAAUAAAGUUAGCUCAUUUUUUAAUCAGUCUAUUGAA
rnacentral:lncRNA from 1 species